GUCAGUACAAACUGAAGUUUCAUACAGACUGUUUAUACUGUUCUAUAUACUAUACAAUGACAUAUUUAUGUUCUGCACGUCGUCUACCUGGAGCUAAGAUGGGCCUCUCUUCUCACCUCUCCGAGUUCAUUCCUCACAGGAUUACACAAAGCAUUUCAGGCUCUCGCCAAUUGAUCCAUAACUUUCCUAAAGUGUGGUGCACAGAAUUGGACACUGUUUUACAGCUGAGGUCUCGCCCGUGCUGAGCAGAGCAAGACAAUUAUCUCCCACAUCUUAAAUAUGUUGCCUAUAUAGUGACUGAACUUUUUCUGACUGACACUUUUGUGUUAAUGGUGAAUUCAUUAUGUCGUUGGCUAACGGUGCACUAAAAACAGCCUCUACAUAGCAAACACAUCCCAGUGGUUUGCUAAUGCUAUGGAUUAGCUGACAGGUUGAAAAGCAAAGGGAAGAUAGGCCGUAGCCCUGGUGAUGUGGGCGCAGCUAUAAGGAAGCUCUCCAAAGUGAACCUAGAAAAAGCUGGAUCUUUUUUGUAGAAGAGGCAACAAACCCACACUAUUACAGUGCAUGAAAUUUUAAUGAGGAGUAGCUGCUAAGCAGAAAAAAAACACUCAUUUAUAUUUCUUUCAAUUAAACUACCUAAUAGGAUUUGCUAAAGACUGUGAUUUCAGAUAUUAAUCAGUUUUGUUUACAAAUAUUUGAUGGCAUCCAGGCAGGUAAGUUUACUUC